rnacentral:rRNA from 1 species
AUUGAACGCUGGCGGCAGGCCUAACACAUGCAAGUCGAGCGGAUGAAGGGAGCUUGCUCCUGGAUUCAGCGGCGGACGGGUGAGGAAUGCCCAGGAAUCUGCCUGGUAGUGGGGGACAACGUUUCGACAGGAACGAUAAUACCGCAUACGUCCUAAGGGAGAAAACAGGGGACCUGCGGGCCUUGCGCUAUCAGAUGCGCCUAGGUCGGAUUAGCUAGUUGGUGGGGUAAUGGCUCACCAAGGCGACGAUCAGUAACUGGUCUGAGAGGAUGAUCAGUCACACUGGAACUGAGACACGGUCCGGACUCCUACGGGAGGCAGCAGUGGGGAAUUUUGGACAAUGGGCGAAAGCCUAAUCCAGCCAUGCCACGUGUGUGAAGAAGUUCUUCGGAUUGUAAAGCACUUUAAGUUGGGAGAAAGAGUUGUAGAUUAAUACUCUGCAAUUUUGACGUUACCGACAGAAUAAGCACCGGCUAACUCUGUGCCAGCCGCCGCAGUAAAAC